UGCGUAGGCGGUUAUUUAAGUCAGAUGUGAAAGCCCCGGGCUUAACCUGGGAACUGCAUUUGAUACUGGGUAACUAGAGUUUAAUAGAGGAGAGUGGAAUUUCAGGUGUAGCGGUGAAAUGCGUAGAGAUCUGAAGGAACACCAGUGGCGAAGGCGACUCUCUGGAUUAAAACUGACGCUGAGGUACGAAAGCGUGGGUAGCAAACAGGAUUAGAUACCCUGGUAGUCCACGCCGUAAACGAUGUCAACUAGCCGUUGGGCCUUUUUACAGGCUUAGUGGCGCAGCUAACGCAUUAAGUUGACCGCCUGGGGAGUACGGCCGCAAGGUUAAA
rnacentral:rRNA from 1 species